AGCUGAAGAGGAAGACAUCAUAUAUAAUGUGCAUGAAAAAAACACCACUUCAUGCAUGACAGCUCAGAGGUCACUUUAAAAUAUCACAGGAUGUUCUGGGUUCUGCGGGAUCAGAUGGAGCAGCAGGUGCAGGUGUGGUCAGAUGCUUCUGGACGGGAACAUAAUCCUGUAGCUUCCUCACAGCUUUACUGCAGAAAUCUGCUGCUUCUUCACGACUGCUGCCAUCAAACUGCAGUCGGAUCAGACGGCUCUCUCCCUUACAGAUUCACAGAACAACGAAAAAUGAAAGACGAGGAGGCGGGGAAAUGCCUUUAGGACAGCACGAGCACAUGAGGAUCCUCCUGUGUCUGACGCCUGGUAAACUGCAGAUCAAGGAUCAUUCUCACCUUCAUUGCAAUGUUGAACAGCAAACUGUCUGAUUUAUGCUGGAUUUUCAGGAAGCUCUGGGCAUUAAGCAGAGAAAAGCCCUCCUACAAACAGAAGAAAACAGGAGCACACAUCAUCAUUAUCCAGCAGAGACUGAUUUAAUAGGAUUAUAUCAGGCUGAAAACACAUCAUAUAAGCAGAACAGCAUGAACCUGCCAUCAGCAGCCUCCUCCAGGGUUUCCAUUAGAACAUAACAGAGAAUGGUUCUGUAGUUUCUGCCAAAACCAUGAAUUGAGCGAUCAAUUAAUGUUUUACACAUCUACAUUUUAAUCUUCUAGAGAAAAUGUUUUUUUAUUAAUGCAAAAGCUACAAUGCAAAUGCAGGAAUGCUAUGCAUGUGAAGUGUGCUUGUGUAUAUACAGUUGAGGUCAGAAUUAUUCACCCCCUUUUAAUUUUGAUUUUCUUUUUUAAAUAUUUCCUAAAUUAUGUUUAACAGAGCAAGGAAAUU